GAGACCGGCGGAUGGGUGAGUAACGCGUAGGUAAUCUGCCGUUAGGACUGGGAUAACCCACCGAAAGGUGAGCUAAUACCGGAUGAUGCAGCGGGGCCGCAUGGCCACAGUUGUUAAAUCCCUCGGGAGCCUAACGAUGAACCUGCGUGCCAUUAGCUAGUUGGUAGGGUCAAAGCCUACCAAGGCAAUGAUGGCUAGGGGGUCUGAGAGGAUGAUCCCCCACACUGGGACUGAGACACGGCCCAGACUCCUACGGGAGGCAGCAGUGAGGAAUCUUGCGCAAUGGGUGGCAACCCUGACGCAGCCACGCCGCGUGCUGGAAGACGGCCCUAUGGGUUGUAAACAGCUUUUACUGGGGAAGAACCUGGACCUUUCGAGGACCACUGACGGUACCCAGUGAAUAAGCACCGGCUAACUCCGUGCCAGCAGCCGCGGUAAUACGGAGGGUGCAAGCGUUGUCCGGAAUCAUUGGGUGUAAAGGGUGUGCAGGCGGAAGUCUAAGUCGGAGGUGAAAUCCUUGCCGCUUUAACGUGUAAAAGGGCCUUCGAAACUGUGAUUUCUUGAGUUCGGAAGAGGUUGGUGGAAUUCUGUGGUGUAGCGUGUGAAAUGCAUAGGAUAUCAACGAAGAACACCGAGUGGCGAAAGGCGUGCCACACUGGAUCCGAAUACUGAACGUCUGAGACAC
rnacentral:rRNA from 1 species